GAAGAUGGGCAUAUUCGGGUCGGCCCUUCGUGAGUUAGGGCCGCCUAAGUGCUUUAAGGUCUUUUGGGGAUAUUUACGGCAAAAAAAAACGUUGGAAAUGUAAAUGAAACGGCAAAAGAUACGUAAUGUCGAUACCGAUCCAGGAAAAAAAAAAUUUAUUAAAAGUG